GUACAUUUUUACACUCAUGUAAGGCAGGUGUUUGCAGCUGUAUGUUAACUUAUCUCUGAUGUUCCAUACAAGCGAGUAAAGUACAUAUAUAAACACAUUAUUAAUAAAAGAGCAUAAAUUGUAUCAUGAAUCUUACCUUAUUUAAUAGUCAAUUGAGCAGUCACAAGCCUGUAAUAUAUCGGUUAUCUCCAGGGUAUUCAC